rnacentral:rRNA from 1 species
GACGAACGCUGGCGGCGUGCUUAACACAUGCAAGUCGAACGGAAAGGCCCUGCUUUUGUGGGGUGCUCGAGUGGCGAACGGGUGAGUAACACGUGAGUAACCUGCCCUUGACUUUGGGAUAACUUCAGGAAACUGGGGCUAAUACCGGAUAGGAGCUCCUGCUGCAUGGUGGGGGUUGGAAAGUUUCGGCGGUUGGGGAUGGACUCGCGGCUUAUCAGCUUGUUGGUGGGGUAGUGGCUUACCAAGGCUUUGACGGGUAGCCGGCCUGAGAGGGUGACCGGCCACAUUGGGACUGAGAUACGGCCAGGACUCCUACGGGAGGCAGCAGUGGGGAAUAUUGCACAAUGGGCGGAAGCCUGAUGCAGCAACGCCGCGUGCGGGAUGACGGCCUUCGGGUUGUAAACCGCUUUCGCCUGUGACGAAGCGUGAGUGACGGUAAUGGGUAAAGAAGCACCGGCUAACUACGUG